UUGACCUCAAAUCAAGUAAGAAUCCCCUU
rnacentral:rRNA from 1 species